rnacentral:rRNA from 1 species
UACGAAGGGGGCUAGCGUUGUUCGGAUUUACUGGGCGUAAAGCGCACGUAGGCGGAUCGAUCAGUCAGGGGUGAAAUCCCAGAGCUCAACUCUGGAACUGCCUUUGAUACUGUCGAUCUGGAGUAUGGAAGAGGUGAGUGGAAUUCCGAGUGUAGAGGUGAAAUUCGUAGAUAUUCGGAGGAACACCAGUGGCGAAGGCGGCUCGCUGGUCCAUUACUGACGCUGAGACGCGAAAGCGUGGGGAGCGAACAGG